GAUGAACGCUGGCGGCGUGCCUAAUACAUGCAGUCGAGCGAACAGACGAGGAGCUUGCUCCUCUGACGUUAGCGGCGGACGGGUGAGUAACACGUGGAUAACCUACCUAUAAGACUGGGAUAACUUCGGGAAACCGGAGCUAAUACCGGAUAAUAUAUUGAACCGCAUGGUUCAAUAGUGAAAGACGGUUUUGCUGUCACUUAUAGAUGGAUCCGCGCCGCAUUAGCUAGUUGGUAAGGUAACGGCUUACCAAGGCAACGAUGCGUAGCCGACCUGAGAGGGUGAUCGGCCACACUGGAACUGAGACACGGUCCAGACUCCUACGGGAGGCAGCAGUAGGGAAUCUUCCGCAAUGGGCGAAAGCUUGACGGAGCAACGCCGCGUGAGUGAUGAAGGUCUUCGGAUCGUAAAACUCUGUUAUUAGGGAAGAACAAAUGUGUAAGUAACUAUGCACGUCUUGACGGUACCUAAUCAGAAAGCCACGGCUAACUACGUG
rnacentral:rRNA from 1 species